CAAUAGCGUAUAUUUAAGUUGCUGCAGUUAAAAAGCUCGUAGUUGGAUUUCGGGUGGGAAUGGCCGGUCCGCCGUUUCGGUGUGCACUUGCUACGCCCACCUUGCUGCCGGGGACGUGCUCUUGAGUUCACGCUCGGGACACGGAGUCGGCGAGGUUACUUUGAGUAAAUUAGAGUGUUCAAAGCAGGCCUACGCUCUGAAUACAUUAGCAUGGAAUAACACGAUAGGACUCUGGCCUAUCUUGUUGGUCUGUAGGACCGGAGUAAUGAUUAAGAGGGACAGUCGGGGGCACUCGUAUUUCAUUGUCAGAGGUGAAAUUCUUGGAUUUAUGAAAGACGAACUACUGCGAAAGCAUUUGCCAAGGGUGUUUUCAUUAA
rnacentral:rRNA from 1 species